AAAUAAAAUGCAUUUUCAUAAGAAAUAUUAAAUUUUCCAAAAAUGUACAUUAAAUUUGAAAAAUUGAUAUUUAAAAAGGCGGCUAAUUUUACUAUAUCUAUGACUUUCUUAAUACUUGGCAAUCUAGUGUCCAAGGCAUUAACCCGUCUGUUAAUGAAACAGAAAGCUUCUAAUGAAAAAUCUGUCAAAUUAAUAUGUGUCCCCCAAAACGAUUUAAACCCUGCAAAGUUGGACAAAUCCGUGUGCAAGCCGCCGUUGUACUUACUGUUUUUCUCCAAAACUACAUGUAAUCUACAUUUCUGAAAAUAAAUGAGGUUCAUAAAAACUUGUGUUUGUCUUAAAAAAAAAUCAAAAAGGAAAAUUAUUUGGUGAAGAUUAUUUUUCUGACAGUAGCAUUCCUUAUCUUUUUACUACUAAUUAAGAGAUAUUUGGAUAAAUUGAAUAAUUCGGUGGUUUCGCGAUUGUUUUAUUUCUUUCUUUGUAAUUCGACCCCUCAGCGAUUGGUUUAGGAUUAUUGGUUUUUGUUUCCUUUAUGCCGACUGGAUAUUUUAUGUUAUGAUGUACAACCAUGAUGUACGCGCAGAAAGGUUUCUUUAUUAUGCGACGUAGUAAGUGAGCUCUUAAUGGUGACACUCGAAUAUACGGUUGAAUUUGCAGAUACUGGUCGGUAUAUUUAUUUAUUAUAGUGAAUUCAGAGCAUUUUAAGUGAACAAUAGGUCUGAGUAGUCCUGAAAUAAAUAUAUCACUAACUUCAGCUGGAAUUUUGAAAUCGAAAAAUGAUGGACACAAUGGCAAAUAGUUAUCAAAGGUACCAAAAAUUAGGAUAUUAAGAAGGAAACAGUUUUCGCCAUUAGUUAUUUCUAAACAAAUAGUGGUGUGGAACGAACGUUUAUUUAUGAUAUACAGAAUUAUGCAACAUAUACCCAC
rnacentral:lncRNA from 1 species